rnacentral:lncRNA from 1 species
CAAAAGGAAAGAAAAUAGUCGAGAGACUUUUCCAACAAACAGAGGUCGUGAAUUAAGACAAAGGUCCCACUACGAAGAUCAAAGAUCAAAGAGAGACACUAUUUACAAUCAUAUCAUCUCGACGACUUGUCCUAUUUGAGCGCCACCGACGUAACACGAUCAAGCCACGGAGAAUCUCUAGGUGCUCCCGAAUUUUCCAUUUUACGAUCCGUACAUUUCUAGACCGUAGAAGCAUCUCGACAGCACCACCGAUCCAAAUCAAACCACCACAACCUAAGUCUCAAUAGGCUGGGCAAAGAUUGGAUCAACUAGCUCGAACGCGAAAGCCUACCAGUUCGCGCUCCAAUCAAUUUGACCGACCAAAGGCAACGCAAAAAACCCUCGAGCUAUCGAGCUUCCGAAACCCUAAUGACGCAGAUACGAACUGUAUGAAACACAUAUCCACUUUCAUUAAGCAAAUACAGACCUUGCAUCUGAGUUAAAAAUAGACAGAC